UUGCACUAGACGGGGCGUUAGCGGUUCCCUGUAACCUGCAAUCCGCUAUAGCAGGGUUGAAUUCCCGAUAGAGGGACUAGGAUGUCGAAGUCUGCCUCAGAUGGAUGGCGUUGAAGUUCGGGUCCUCCACAACAGACGCUUAUGAACCUCGUCAGGGUCGGAAGGCAGCAGCGAUAAGUGAGUUAGUUUGUGUGUUGGAGGGAAGCCUGUUCUGAGUUAAUCGGCUGGGUACCGUUCGGUUUCCUUUUUUCGAAGUCGGGUGUGCUA
rnacentral:SRP_RNA from 1 species